GCCUUUGCAGCUUACCUCAACUGUAGGUCAAGAGGAGCGUCUCAGUCGCUUUGGCCUGCGCUUCCCCGUAUCUCUUUUGGCUUUGAAUGCCAGCUGUUUCUGAAGUGCGACGAGAGCGACAAAGAUGCAGAAUAUCGGAGCCGCGAACGCCGACGAUGCGUUCUAUCGCUACAAAAUGCCGAAGCUGCAGGCCAAGGUGUGCAGGCGCAUUAAGUGCGCGGCUGCUACCUAUGGCAGCAGAGUGGCUUGGGAACGGGCGGUUGAGGCGCCUGCUUUGUUCGGCUGGCUGCAGAUUGAGGGCCGAGGCAACGGCAUCAAGACUAACGUUGUAAACAACGUUGAGAUUGCAAAGGCUCUGGAGCGCCCACCUGAGUGUAAGCCGCCGCUGCGGAGGAGUGUGUUGUCCGGGCAGCUGCGUGCAUCGUUGCCUCCCGGCUCCCAGCAGCUUGGGGGCCUUGAACUGACCCAAUUGUGGUGUUCACAUACAGAUG
rnacentral:lncRNA from 1 species